GGUCGGUUGGCCGAGUGGCUAGGCAACGGUCUGCAAAACCGUCUACGGCGGUUCGAAUCCGCCAUCGACCU
rnacentral:tRNA from 1 species